rnacentral:lncRNA from 1 species
CCUCCCCCUUGGGCGCUUUUGCUUCCUUUUUUAUUUUUUGCACAGUGAGGCAGGAAUCCGAACACGCCGCAAUCUGGGAGCUGUGGAGGCUGCUGGGCCUCCAGAUCGGAUUCCCAAUUCGCUGUCCCCAGGCGUUUGGGACCGCUCCAAGCGGAGCUCCGCCGCCAGAAGGGCGCAGGAGGAGAGGGAGCAUCGCCCGCCGCGGUGCCACCAGGGCCGGGAGCGCGCAGGACGGCGCGGAGUCGAGGUUCAACGGCCCCGGUUGUUGCCCCGAAGCAGCUGGGAGCCGUCGGAAGAGCCAAGCGGCCCCGCUCCGACGUGGCGGAAUCGCAGACCGCUCACCCAGUCGUGAGGUUAACGCGCCGGAUUCUUUUCCUCAUAAAUGAGCGGAAGGAGCAAACGUUUCUAAGCAAAGGGCUUUCAAGACAGACGCAGCCAGAGCGGGAUUUUUACCGUUACCUUCGCAACCUAUUUCGAAAAGAGGCAGAUGCGGGUUAUAUCCGAGGGGAUUUGGCGGGUUAUAUCCAAGCAGCGCCCAAAAAAGAAAAAGCAAGCGGCGUCGCUGCCUCCCGUUGGUAUAAAUUAAUCUUUCUCUGCAACCGUUGCUGCGCGAUGUGAUUUUCCGUACCGGCUCCCGCUCAGCCGGCCGGUUUCGCAGUUCACAGCGGCAUUUUCCUCCCCGCUCGAGGUCUUUCCAGCCCGGCUGCGCUUUUGUUGGGUGUUUGCCCAGCGCGGAAGCGCUCGGUUAGGAACGGAGGGGACGCAAAUAUCGCCGGCAGCGUGGUUUCCCCACCGACGUCAGCGCCGCAGCCCCCCACCCUGGCUCCGGCCCGUGGCCGGCUGAACGCGAAGCAGAAGGAAUUGUGUCAGGAUAACCAGGCCGGAUCGGCUCCUCCGCCAGGCAGCCGAGCAUAGCUCAAGGAAGCGAUGUCCGUUUGCACCAGCUCAAAAACCCUGGAAUUUGAACCCCAAAACGGCCUCAAACCAAAGGGGAGCAAAAUCCACCGGCUUCCUGGAGAGCCGUACCGAUGGAUCCCGGGCUGAAUGGAUCCCGGGCUGAACUAGGCUCCUUUUUCCCCCCUCAUUUCGCAGCCUGGAAAACUCGGCAAAGCAGCCGUUUACCCGGCGCCCGGGGCCGUUCUUGUGGCGCGGAGCCUCCCGCCGCACGGGCCGAAUAAAGCGGGACCGGGACGGCGUUGCGCGGCGACG